UACUAUUUAGAAAGCGAGAGUUAGGGGCCUCUUCGUCGUCCUGGGUUUAUUUUAGGAAUUCGCCAUUCUGCUUCGGGGUUAUUUUUAGCUUUUGAUCAACACGUGUUGACAACUACAGUUUUCAGUCGACCAACCUCUCUCUCUCCUCUUUGUCUCUUUCGUCUUUUUCAUCGAGGAUUUGACAAAUAAACCCUAAUAGGCAGACGAAUGGGCAAAGCGCCUGCUUUAUCGUCCUUUUGUUCUUCAUCUUACUAUUUAUUGGCUUUGCUGCAAACAGCAUAUAUGGGCUUUGAGCUAUUCAUUAAAUAUAAUAUUUAGCGGCUUAGGUGAAUUCUAUGGUUUCGAAAACGGAUUUGACUGUUUGAAGGAAUGAAUCGCUCAUUGUCGUCUCCAGAUAGUGAUUACUUUGAAGAUAUUGAUCCUACCAUUGGUAAGUUUCGCCUCACUUGCAGUAAAAAUCUUUUAUAAGUAUCAAAUCUCGAACAUUAACAUGUAAUAAUCCAAUAAUACAACGCUUCUAGGUGUGAUUAGGCCUAAAACAAUAUUGCAUCUAUUAAAGCAAGAAGGAAAAUCAAGGGGCGCUGCUACAAAUCAAGUACGCAAGGCAAUUUCACUUGCUCAGAAAAUCAUCGUGUUGGACCGAUGAACUUUUACCAUCUGCAUCAGGCUAGCAAAGGCUGUUAAAAUUGGUUCAUUUCGGAUGGCUUAGGUUCGGGUUAAAAAAAAUUCUCGGUUCCUUUGCGAGGUUUGCUAGAAAUUUUAUAUUUCCACAUGUUUGUUUCAAAUUCAUUUGAAUAUCAUCACAAAGCAAUGCCUUGUUCAAGUAAAAAUUUCACCACAAAAGAAUGGACCAAGUUUGGAGGAUUGUGCUUGCUGGAUCAAUCUUGAGGGGACAUCGUCAAAUGUCGCUUUGCAGACAUUGCUCCAUCUUAUAUGCUCCUACAAUGAUCAUGAAAAUGGUAAACUUGUUGUCAAUAAUAUGGAUGAUGAGGUUGAGCAGGUUUCAAUGGAAUGAGUCUUGUGUUGAAUCAAUGAUCACAAGGAAACUAAGUUACGAUCUUGCUGGAUUCUUUUUUUUUUCCAGGUGUGAAAUGAAGCAUUAAGAUGACUGCAUUAGAAAAUCUGACAUUUCCAGCAGUCUAUUUAUUUUCAAUUUAUAGUCACCUCUUAUAGAGUUUGAUAAUCAUUUCACAGAAUACCAAUAGAGAUUAUACUCGGUAACCUGUGGUUAAAGUUUUGGCUUAAAUUCAUGUCAAAAGAUGGUGGUAUGGUGGAAAACGCUUUUUUGAUGAUCAGUUUACUGCUAGCACGAGGACAACAUUAUCCUGCUCUAUUACAUGUGCAAAUAGAUGGAUCAUAACCCUUUCUUAGGGUGUAUGCUUGAUGGAUACAUAGGAAUAUAAUGAGAAACAGAACAAUGGCUAUACAUGGUUAGUGGUUACCAAGAAAAUGCCACAUUUAAGAUCAAGUUGUAAAUGUGGGGAGUAAUUGUCCUACUAAAGCAAAAGGGCCCUCGGGGUACCAACUAUGGUCCAAUGGGCGAUUAUUGAAGCUUCAGGCCAUAGUGUUAUCACACCUGAAUUUUUUUUGAUGAUGUGAACCAAAACUCUUGAGACUAAAAAAGAUGCUGCAGGAAGCAAAGGAGACAUUGAAGAAGAUGCUUCAGGAAGCAAAGGAGACAUUGCAGUGCCUAAGCAAAGGAGACACGCUUUAGGCAUUGAAUUUAUUUAUUCGUAGUGUAAAUAAAUAAGUUGUGUAAUCUAGAUGCGCUAAAAAUGCAUAGUUUAGCAUAUAGAAAUUAUCUGUUAUCCUGAUUACUCCGGGGAAACUUGAAAGCUUGCCUCUCCUCUGCAUAUGUCGAUUAGGUGGUGUAUGUAUUGUCCCACUAUGAGUUCAUUGUGUGAAAUUCACUUUAAAGCUACUGCAUAGUCUUGCUUGCCUAUCUGAAAGUCUUGCCUUAUGUAUGGUGCAACCAAUUAUUUUUGUUUAUGCGAAUCAAUGUUUUUUCCCUUUUUUUUCUUUCUAAUAAAGCAAAAGUAUACAAAGUGAUGCUAAGUAGGGCUGAGAUUUUACUCUAUUUCUGCAGCUAACUCCAACAUUAAUGGAAGAGAAUUGACCUGAAGGUGAUUUAAAAGAGAUCUAGACAUAACUUGGGUAAGAUUUCCUGCUCUUUUCUUUCCCGCCCGGUGUCUGUGAAACUCCAUGCCUCCCCAAGACAGUGAAUUCCUUGAAAUUUGUUAUUAGCAUUCAAGGAGAGCAAACUUAGCUUCUCUCUUUAAUCUUGUGUAUUUCUUUAGGCUUAAAAUUUGUUUUAAGCUAAGCUAUGUACAAUGAGAAUCUGGGAUUCUUCUGCUUCACAGAAACUUAUUUUCUAAUAGCUUAAAGUUUGGGACUUUUAGUUGUUAGUUUCCAUGGGAGUAAGCUCAACCUUCUUUCUUUAUUUCUUUUAUCCUUUUUUUAGUCAUCGUUGUAGAAUAAAUAUAAUGAUUAUGCUAUAUUUUUAUGGUCGGUUGUUAUUGAUGAUCAUUGUUGGCCAUUUGUUUUUUAAUUCAGUGACAAUAUAUCUUUUGUGUGCUCCGCAUCUAUGAAAAAACAUAUCAUAUUGAUGAAGAUCACCCAAUCCCAAUGCCUUCAUGUUAUGGUUGCGAAUAAUACUCUUACUUUAUGGAGAAACUUUUUGAACAUGUAGGCAUUUUCUUGUGGCGUGACUGACUCGGGAUUGGGUUAUUUUGCAGAACAUGAUUCAGGUGGACAAUUAAAUAUAUAAUAUUGUGGAAAUGUAGCCAUUGGGAUGACUUACAUCAAAUUGUAAAAUAUUAAAUCAUACUCAAAACCUAAGGUAGAGAAUCCAUUUAAAUUUUGAGUCAAAUGGUUAUUGGAGAGUCACUUUCAUCCCUGUAUUGUGCAAAUAUAUACUUGACUAGAUCAACCUGUCUAGAUAAAUUUUUUUACUAUGUCUAACCGUUGCUUGGGUUAUUGAUGGUGACUGCUUCCGACCACCAAAAACCAUCUCUGAACCGACAUGUAACUUUACAGAACUUAUACUUAAAGAUCCAUUGGGACAAAAGAGGAGUCCAGAAAAAAUUUAUCAAAGCGCUUUGAGAUCGGUGGCGGAAACAACGGGGGAGUAGGUAAUCAUGGAGCCAAUUACAGGAGUUUUACCAGGAUGAUCUAAACUAAGAGAAAAUUUAAGUCAUCUAAUGAUGCCUUACAUCUCAUUGUGUACCUGUUUCUGUUGUAAAGAUCCUAUUGUCCCAUGCUCUUGCAAAUAUGUAGAUAAUAUGUCCAUUUGUUGUGAAAUGGACCGUGAACAUUAACUCCAUGCAGAAAUAGUCUGUUACAAGUAAACUUCCCUUAGGCUUAUUGAACUAUUAACAUGGCAUAAAAAUAUUUCCUUCCUGUAGUCUCCAAAUGAAGUCUUCUUUGUGUGUGUAAUUUUUUUUUAUAUGUUUGGCUGUUUUCAAGGCUCCUGGAGAGUUGAAGUGCAACAUAUUUCAGAUAAGAGUGUCAUAAUGAGUGAAAUUUCAGACACAAGGAGUAAUCUCUUGUUUGUGUUAAUUGAAAUAUGUUAUUAUGAUUUUCUAAAUGAGCUUGUCAGCAUAGCAUUGACCUAUACAUUCUCCUGCUUCACUGGCAAUUACCACAAAGUAGACCAGCUGCUAUUUGUUAAUGUUAUCUGUAUCCAUUUACUUUUAUCUUACAGGGCUCAUUUGAGUUGAUAUUUCUCUCACUGCAACCAAUUUAAAUGGUGGUAUCGAUUUUCUCUUGUACGGCGUAUACGGUUAAAAUCGGGCCCACCCGAUUUUACUGUUUGACCGAGACCGGGACUUUGCAUCAAAGGAUGACUCCGAAGUGGAUCGAAUCGAGGCACGAAGACAAGGUACCAAGAUCGAGGCUGACAACAAUCGAGACCAAACGAGACAGACAUCGAGCAAUACCGAUGAUAGCAUAAUAAUGGAAAAGCGAGAUAUCCUCGACUGGUCGAAGAUCAUGGCGGAAAUUUCGGAACGGAUCGAAUCAAGAACAGUUGUUUAGUUAAUCAUGGGAUUUCCUUCUGUAAUUAGAAUUGUACCAUAUAUAGAAUUCUUCUACUAUAUAAAGGGAGAGUUCUAACCAUUUGUAGAAACGACCGAGACAAAAAACAAUAUAAUUUUCUUUCUCGCUCAUACUCUUGUUCUUCAGCUUAUUGUAUUUUUAUUGUCCUUG
rnacentral:lncRNA from 1 species